ensembl:snRNA U5 U5 spliceosomal RNA
AUACUCUGGUUUCUCUUCGAAUCGUAUAGAUCUUUUAUCUUUUACUAAAAAUUUCCAUGGAAAGUCAACCAAGAGUGUACUAACAUUGAGUGAUGUAUUGGUAACUAGGCUUCAAAA